rnacentral:rRNA from 1 species
AUUGAACGCUGGCGGCAGGCCUAACACAUGCAAGUCGAACGAGUGGCGGACGGGUGAGUAAUGUAUGGGGAACUGCCCGAUGGAGGGGGAUAACUACUGGAAACGGUGGCUAAUACCGCCUACCAUCGGAUGAGCCCAGAUGGGAUUAGCUAGUAGGUGGGGUAAUGGCUCACCUAGGCGACGAUCCCUAGCUGGUCUGAGAGGAUGACCAGCAACACUGGAACGGAGACACGGUCCAGACGCCUACGGGAGGCAGCAGUGGGGAAUAUUGCACAAUGGGCGCAAGCCUGAUGCAGCCAUGCCGCGUGUAUGAAGAAGGCCUUAGGGUUGUAAAGUACUUUCAGCGAGGAGGCGUUACUCGCAGAAGAAGCACCGGCUAACUCCGUGCCAGCAGCCGCGGUAAUAC